AUUGAACGCUGGCGGCAGGCUUAACACAUGCAAGUCGAGCGGGGGAAGGUAGCUUGCUACUGGACCUAGCGGCGGACGGGUGAGUAAUGCUUAGGAAUCUGCCUAUUAGGGGGGGACCACAUCUCGAAAGGGAUGCUAAUACCGCAUACGUCCUACGGGAUAAAGCAGGGGAUCUUCGGACCGUGCGCUAAUAGAUGAGCCUAAGUCGGAUUAGCUAGUUGUUGGGGUAAAGGUCUACCAAGGCGACGAUCUGUAGCGGGUCUGAGAGGAUGAUCCGCCACACUGGGACUGAGACCCGGCCCAGACUCCUACGGGAGGCAGCAGUGGGGAAUAUUGGACAAUGGGGGGAACCCUGAUCCAGCCAUGCCGCGUGUGUGAAGAAGGCCUUAUGGUUGUAAAGCACUUUAAGCGAGGAGGAGGCUACUUUAGUUAAUGCCUAGAGAUAGUGGACGUUACUCGCAGAAUGAGCACCGGCUAACUCUGUGCCAGCAGCCGCCGUAA
rnacentral:rRNA from 1 species